rnacentral:tRNA from 1 species
GCCCGGGUGGUGGAAUGGUAUACACGCACGACUUAAAAUCGUGUGGCGCAAGCCUUGUGGGUUCGAGUCCCACCCCGGGCACCA